rnacentral:sRNA from 1 species
GCUGGUUUUGUCGCCCCCACCUUGUAGUCCCAGCUACCUGGGAGGCUGAGGUGGGAAGACCACUUGAACCCAAGAGUUUGGGGCCAGCCUGGGUAACAUAGUGAGAUCCCUCCCACCUCUC